rnacentral:miRNA from 1 species
UCUGAUGCCAUUUGACAGCUCA